ACUUGGGAUCCGUAUCUCUGCUUCGCCCGGUUUGGCACUAGCACAUUUUUGCUUUUGUAUAACUACUUUGAGCAAUUAUGUGUAGUGCCAAUCUGGGAGAAGACGGAAGUGGCAGCGCUCUGUG
rnacentral:pre_miRNA from 15 species